rnacentral:rRNA from 1 species
CCUACGGGGGGCAGCAGUCGAGAAUCAUUCACAAUGGGGGAAACCCUGAUGGUGCGACGCCGCGUGGGGGAAUGAAGGUCUUCGGAUUGUAAACCCCUGUCAUGUGGGAGCAAAUUAAAAAGAUAGUACCACAAGAGGAAGAGACGGCUAACUCUGUGCCAGCAGCCGCGGUAAUACAGAGGUCUCAAGCGUUGUUCGGAAUCACUGGGCGUAAAGCGUGCGUAGGCUGUUUCGUAAGUCGUGUGUGAAAGGCGCGGGCUCAACCCGCGGACGGCACAUGAUACUGCGAGACUAGAGUAAUGGAG